UUUUUUACAUGCAAGGCAUGUGGUGAAUCCGUGAAGAAAAUACAGGUGGAAAAGCACAUCUCUGUUUGCAGAAACUGUGAAUGUCUUUCCUGCAUUGACUAUGGGAAAGAUUUCUGGGUGACAACUACAAAAGUCACGUGAAGUGCAUCAGUGAAGGUCAGAAGUACCGGGGCAAAGGCUAUGAAGCCAAGACACACAAAGGUGAUGCAAAACAGCAGGCAUGGAUUCAGAAAAUUAAUGAGUGAAUAAAGAAACCCAACAUCAGUCUCAAGGUGCGAGAACUUCUGCAGAAACUUAGUGCUUUUGACAAUGUUCCCAGAAAGUUCAUGAUUUUUAAAAAU
rnacentral:lncRNA from 1 species